GACGAACCGUGCAAACGUUGUUCGGAAUCCCUGGGCUUAAAGGGCGCGUAGGCGGGCAGGCAAGUCUGGGGUGAAAUCUUUCGGCUUAACCGGAAAAGUGCCUUGGAUACUGCUUGUCUCGAGGGAGGUAGGGGCAGAUGGAACUUCCGGUGGAGCGGUGAAAUGCGUUGAUAUCGGAAGGAACGCCGGUGGCGAAAGCGAUCUGCUGGACCUCUUCUGACGCUGAGGCGCGAAAGCUAGGGGAGCAAACAGG
rnacentral:rRNA from 1 species